CCCUCAUUAGCGUAACCCGCCCUUAAUUACCGGGGCUGGGGAAACGGUUUGGUGCAAGGGCUGAGCUCCCCCAGCUGCCUCUGCUGCCUUCAGUCUCUUACCAGGAGACAGGAAAGGGAGGGGAGCCAAGGCAGAGGCUGCAGGGGACUGGCACCGAGCGAGGCUCAGGGCUGGCACUCUCCUGGCAGCAGCAGAUGAGAGCAGUGCUGAGCCCGGGCCCUUUUCUGGCUCCUCUCCCUGCCAGCCCACGGCUGCUCUGAAACACCUGUCUCUUGUGUAUGGAGAAGGAAUGGUGUGUGUGCCCUCCUGUGCUGGCUUUGCUGCCAUCCUCAGCAUCCUCCACUGGAAGGUCAGGAGUGCUGUGCUCUGCCCAGAGUGCAGCUUGUCUGAUCUGAACAGACCAGUGAUCUCCUCAGCUGUGCUCCUGAGAGGGAAGUUCUUCAUUAUCCACAGAGAAGUUUUCUUGUAAUCAUGGUUCUGCUGUUUCUUCAGGUGCCUGAAUCUGUGUGCUCCCACUUGUAUUUUGUUCACAGCAACCUUAACAUCUUUCUUGUAGCUCUUUGGGAUGUGCAGGCAGCAGUGCAUGCAGUGAGAUGUGUGCAAGCUGCUGCAGCAAGACAAGACCAGCAGCAGUGCUAAGAAGGAAUGCAGUGAGCAGUGCUGCCAGGCUUUUCUCUUUGAGGGUACCAACCUCCUUCCCAUGCCAAACCCAAUUGUCACCAAAUAUCGCUGCCCCAUAAGUGCCAGCAGCAGCUCUCUGGGCUGCCUAAGGAAGUGGCUGUGUCCAGUUAUGCCUGCUGAGGUGGAGACCUGCAUAGCAACGAGGGAAAAGGAUUCAAAAGCCUUUUGGAUAAUGAGUGGCUGCAGGUGAUUGCAUAAAUACUGUGUGCUGCUGAUACUGGACAGGAUGAAGUCUUUGAAUCAUAUAGACAGAGUUGGCUUUUGAACUUGUAGCCCCUUGGAUUUAUUGGCUGCUGCCUCAGGAGUUUCUGUCUGGUUUAAAAUCAUGUCUGAAUUAUGUUUCUUCUAGCAGUUAUUUCAUGGCUUAGCUGUUCUGUGACUCUGUGUUUCCUUUCACUUACUGCUUAUCUUAAUCACUCUUAACUUUGCAAGUCUCCAUUUUGACUUCAUUUUCAAUAAACCUGUGCCUGUGUAAUAAAACCUCCCCAAAAGUGGCAAUUCUUAGCCAAGAGCUAAGCCAGCUCAGCUGUGCUUGUUUGCAAUGAAACUGCAAGCUCAUUAAACCAUAACAUUCAUUUACUU